rnacentral:rRNA from 1 species
UCACUGCUAUCGGGGUUCGAUUAAGCCAUGCGAGUCGAGAGGGUUCGGCCCUCGGCGUACUGCUCAGUAACACGUGGAUAACCUGCCCUAGGGAAGGGGAUAACCCCGGGAAACUGGGGAUAAUACCCUAUAGAUUACAGAUGCUGGAAUGCCCUGUAAUCCAAAGUUCCGACGCCCUAGGAUGGAUCUGCGGCCGAUUAGGUUGUUGUUGGGGUAAUGGCCCAACAAGCCCGUAAUCGGUACGGGUUGUGGGAGCAAGAGCCCGGAGUUGGAUUCUGAGACACGAAUCCAGGCCCUACGGGGCGCAGCAGGCGCGAAAACUUUACAAUGCGGGCAACCGUGAUAAGGGAACCUCGAGUGCCUGUAAAUGCAGGCUGUUCAGGUGCCUAAAACACACCUGAAGAAAGGGCCGGGCAAGACCGGUGCCAGCCGCCGCGGUAAUACCGGCGGCUCGAGUGGUGGCCGCUUUUAUUGGGCUUAAAGCGUUCGUAGCUGGGUUGUUAAGUCUCUUGGGAAAUCUGGCGGCUUAACCGUCAGGCGUCUAAGGGAUACUGGCAAUCUUGGAACCGGGAGAGGUGAGGGGUACUUCGGGGGUAGGAGUGAAAUCCUGUAAUCCUCGAGGGACCACCUGUGGCGAAGGCGCCUCACCAGAACGGCUUCGACAGUGAGGGACGAAAGCUGGGGGAGCAAACCGGAUUAGAUACCCGGGUAGUCCCAGCCGUAAACUAUGCGCGUUAGGUGUAUCGGUGACCACGAGUUACCGAGGUGCCGAAGGGAAACCGUGAAACGUGCCGCCUGGGAAGUACGGUCGCAAGGCUGAAACUUAAAGGAAUUGGCGGGGGAGCACCACAACAGGUGGAGCCUGCGGUUUAAUUGGACUCAACGCCGGGAAGCUCACCGGAUAAGACAGCAGAAUGAUUGCCGGGCUGAAGACUCUGCAUGACUAGCUGAGAGGAGGUGCAUGGCCGUCGUCAGUUCGUACUGUGAAGCAUCCUGUUAAGUCAGGCAACGAGCAAGACCCACGCCAACAGUUGCCAGCAUGGUCUCCGGACUGAUGGGGACACUGUUGGGACCGCCUCUGCUAAAGAGGAGGAAGGAAUGGGCAACGGUAGGUCAGCAUGCCCCGAAUUAUCCGGGCUACACGCGGGCUACAAUGGGCAGGACAAUGGGCAUCGACACCGAAAGGUGAAGGCAAUCUCCUAGACCUGUCCUUAGUUCGGAUUGUGGGCUGCAACUCGCCCACAUGAAGCUGGAAUCUGUAGUAAUCGCGUUUCAAAAUAACGCGGUGAAUUUGUCCCUGCUCCUUGCACACACCGCCCGUCAAACCACCCGAGUGGGGUUUGGAUGCGGUUGCGGUUGUUGCCGCAGUCGAAUCUAGGUUCCGCAAGGGGGGUU